rnacentral:rRNA from 1 species
UACGGAGGUGGCAAGCGUUGUUCGGAAUUAUUGGGCGUAAAGGGCGCGUAGGCGGCUUUGCAAGUCAGAUGUGAAAGCCCCGGGCUUAACUCGGGAAUUGCAUCUGAAACUGCCUUGCUUGAGUUCUGGAGGGGGUAGUGGAAUUCCCAGUGUAGCGGUGAAAUGCGUAGAUAUUGGGAGGAACACCUGCGGCGAAGGCGGCUACCUGGACAGUGACUGACGCUGAUGCGCGAAAGCUAGGGGAGCGAACGGG